AGGAUUAACGCUGGCGGCGUGCAUGAAACAUGCAAGUCGAGCGCGGUGUGAUGAGGGGUAACCCAAUUCACAUCUAGCGGCGAACGGGUGAGUAACACGUGAGCAACCUACCUUUGAGUUGGGGAUAGCCCUGGGAAACCAGGAUUAAUACCCGAUGUGGUCACAACAGGACAUCCUGAUGUGAGUAAAGGCGUAAGCCGCUCAAUGACGGGCUCGCGGCCUAUUAGCUUGUUGGUGGGGUAACGGCCUACCAAGGCGAUGAUGGGUAGCUGGUCUGAGAGGACGAUCAGCCACACUGGAACUGAGACACGGUCCAGACUCCUACGGGAGGCAGCAGUGGGGAAUCUUGCGCAAUGGACGAAAGUCUGACGCAGCAACGCCGCGUGAGGGACGAAGGCUUUCUGAGUUGUAAACCUCUUUCGACAGGAACGAUUGUGACGGUACCUGUAGAAGAGCACCGGCCAACUAUGUGCCAGCAGCCGCGGUAA
rnacentral:rRNA from 1 species